rnacentral:piRNA from 1 species
UAACACUCAGCAACAUUUGCAAAUCUCUGC